GCUUGGUCCUCCGCACAGGGUCUCUGGGAUCCUGUGUCCCCACCCAGCACCUGCGCCCCGGGCGAUGGCUGGUCCUCAGGUUAUUUUUAGCCCACCCUGUAACUCCGGUGAUGAGGGUGGCUAGAAUGGAUGCAGUUUGGAUGCUCAUUUCUCAGAAGAGGACAUAGAGGAAGAAGAAGGUUCCGUGCUUGCUCUGACAUCACGCAACACUGUGCGGUGAAGGUGUGAUCCCAAGCCCCGAAGACCACCUGAGGGACUCUCCUGAAGGAGGUGGGGUCAGCCCAGUGGCACUUGCAGGGGGUAGGGGUACAAGCCUCAGUUCUGCCACCUAUGAGAGGACCCUGGGGCACAGCCUGUGGACCAUGAAGAUCGUUCCUCACUGACUGGGAACUCUCCAAGACGGCUGGGCUGGCCAGCCAGUGAACACUAGGGACCCUUCUGUCUUGGCUUCUUCGGCGCUGGGGUUAUGGGCACACGCUGCCACACCCUCCUCUUUGUAUUUGUCCUGGGAAUCCAACUCAGGUCCUUGUGUCUGCCGGGGGAGCACUUUACUAGCCAAGCCGUUCAGCUCGGCUCUCACAAUGGCCCCAAAGCACUUUGUAAACUGGUGGGGAGCGGGCAUUUCCUUGACAUUUGCCUGGGACUGCAUUGAAAUGACUCCACUGGGUCACAUGGAACCAUGACUGUGUCUGCCCCCCCCCCCAUUUCCUUGUAUGGUCAUAUGGCUGCGAGGAAAUUCGGUCACUCUUCUGUGACACCUCAUCGCCCUCUAACACAUCAACCUCUAACACUCGACUUCCCCCACACAGGCCUGAUCCAAACCUUGAUCUCACUGCGAGCCGCCCGCCCGUAUGACUCCCUCCUCCGCAUGACUCCCUCCUCCGCAUCAGGCCACAGUCCUGAAUCGAAGCAACUGAAUGCGGGGUGGGGGGGUGAUUUUUCUAAUAAGCUCUCUGUGUAGCAUUUGGAAGCUAAAGGGGAGUAAAGAGGAGGUUGGAGACCUCUGUACUCACUGCCACAUCUGGACUUGAGUCUUGAUGCAGUGAGGGAGCUGAACCAGGUUGCCACAAGCUGCUCAACAUGUGGCCAUUUGUUACCCUGGGGACCCCACCUGGGAGCUGUCUGAACCUCCUCCAGCUGUGCCUAGCACCUGGCCUAUAUCCAGCAAGUGCUUGCUAUUGCUGAGUAAACUUAAUCCUCUUAAGCACAAAGAUUCUUCCUGCCCCUCAGAUUUAGUGAUGGGUGGUCUUCAAAACCAGGCCUGCAGUCUGAAGUCUUAAGGUGUGACUAAACUGACAUUUGUGUCCCCUGGAUAACACGGAAGGGCCAGGCAUACAUUAGGUGCUCAAUAGAUGCUCUUGGGUUGAGCCACCAGACCUACAGUGGUAGUCAGAGCCUUGGAGUCUCCACUAUGGUAAGGAAUAAAAGGACCCUGCAGAGGCUUGGGGACAAGAAGGUCAACUGUUCUGGGGACUUCAGGGGACAGAACCACGGGAGGUCAAGGCGUUUGAGGAGCUGCUGGGCUGACAGUGCUUUGUGUGGAAGUAAAAAGGCCCAAAAACAAAUAGAACAAGUCUGCCUGGGGAGCCAGUUCCCCUUUUGAUCAGGGAUUUGAUGUGGCCGCAGGAUGACAGCCACUGGAUGCUUCCAGCAGGGCCUUGUGUCCUACUGUGAGGUCAGGACCAGCCCCUUUCCCAGCUCCAAGUCCCAAGUUGCAGAGAUCUUUCUAGUUUGUGUGACCCAGACAAUCUGGACUUUACCCCAGCCUGGUAGGAUGCCUCCCUGUGAAGUCUCCAACCUGUGAACCUUCCUGCAGACUUGGGGGUGAGCCUUCCUCCAGUGAACCCCCGGGGGCGGGGGUUGUCUCUACCAAGGAGGAGCUACCUCAGAGAAAGGAGAAAACAUAGAGAGCUGUGCUUGGGGACUCAAGGUAAAGGGACACAGCCACCACUCAGGGUCGCCGUCCUCCAGGGAGACACAGUUUCAAGCAUGCUGAUCAGACCAGGCAAAAGUGGUACUGUCUCAUACCUCAUACUCCAGUGGGAAUGACUUCUGGCACAGAGAAAUAUGGCGUAGGAGGUGUGGAACCCAUUCAUUCCCUCAUUCAUUCAAGCCUGUGAAUAUCUACCUGUGUCAGGCUUGAGGACACCAGGGAGAGGGCCCCAAACCCUGCUCUGUGCCUCUGUGGUUUAAGACCAAGUGGAGGACUCAGAUAUCAACCCACAGUUCUGAUAAACAUAAGGAUGUCAGGCCUUAUUCUGAGGGUUUGGACAGUGGCCUUCCAUUUGAUCAGCCCCCACUCUGUUCACGGGGUCAACAUCCUAUCUCAGGUGAACACCUGGUGUAUGAAGAAGAGUCACUCACUUAAAGCUAGGCAUGAUGGCCCACAACUGUCCUCCCAGCCUCUGGGAGACGGAGGCAAGAGGAUUACAAGAGCUACAGAAUGAGGCUGGGUCUCAAAGCAGGAGUACUAGUCUCACAGUCACUGUGACAGUGUCAGGUAGGUGGCCACACUGUCUCCAUCCUGCUGCGGAGGCUGGGGGUCAGAAAGGGGAAGAACUGGAAAGAGGACACAGCCGAGAGGCAGAGUGGGGGGACCAGAGCCUGCUAAGAACCACUGUGCCCUAUGACCACGGGAGGUCACUUGAGGUGUGGGGCUGAAGUCAGAGGCCACGGGAGGCUUAGUGGGGGCUGGGCUUGGUCGGGGGCGGGAGACAGGCAGAGAGGAACUGAGAUCCAGAUUUCAAGGGUCUGGAGCAUGGGGAGGGUAGAGAGGAUGCAGGCCGGGGACCACAGCCCUGGCUGGUUGUCCCCAAGUGCUUGGGCGGUGCCAUAGGGACCCAUUGUUUUGCCAGAUCGAGGCUGGCUUGCUGCUGGGAGCCCUUCCUGUAUUAAAAAUAUGCUAACAACACCCUUCUCCCCGUGAAUGGAUAAAAGA